UACGAAGGGGGCUAGCGUUGUUCGGAAUUACUGGGCGUAAAGGGCAUGUAGGCGGCCCGAUAAAUUAGAAGUGAAAUGCCUGGGCUUAACCCGGGAACUGCUUUUAAGACUGUCGGGCUUGAAUCCGUGAGAGGACAGUGGAAUUCCCAGUGUAGAGGUGAAAUUCGUAGAUAUUGGGAGGAACACCAGUAGCGAAGGCGACUGUCUGGUGCGGUAUUGACGCUGAGAUGCGAAAGCGUGGGGAGCAAACAGG
rnacentral:rRNA from 1 species